AUUUACAAUAGUCAAAUUCAUAGAGACAGAGAGUAGAAUGAAGGUUGACAGAAGCUAGGGGGAGUGGGGAAUGGGAAGUUACUUCUUAGUCGAUAUAGAAUUUCAGUUUUACAAAAUGAAGAGUUCAGAGUUCCAGAGCCUGGUUGCCCAACAAUGUGAAUGCAUUUAAUACCACCGAACUGCAGGCUUACAAAUGGCUAGGAUGGUGCAGUUUAUGUUAUGUGUAUUUCAAUGAAAAUUUGGAAGAAAAUACGAAAAAGGAGGAAUGAGUGAGAACCAGUAUGGUUUGUGGGAGGAAUGUUAAGCAGGUGCUGCUGCUGAGAGUAAAAUGGGAAGCAGAAAGAGAGAGAGUGAGGCUGAGGGGAGAACAGAGACCAGGUUUAUUCAGUCUGGAGAUGUUCUUUCAGGCCAUGUGUUCUUCUAGGAAAGGGAGAUACUGUGGAGCUUAGAGGCUUGACCCCGGCCCUUAGGUCUUUGGGUCUUCUCGUUGAGGCAAGAAGGAGCCAUUGAUGGUGUUAAGCAGGAAAAGCAGCAAGAUCCGAUUUGCAUUUUAGGAUUAUUCCUCUGGCUGAAUGCAAAUGAGUUGGAGGGGGCGACAUGGAGGAGGGAGGCAGAGUCACUGGUAAUCAAAAAGUAGAUGAUAAAGGCCUGAACAGGGAGGAAGAUCUCCACACAGCCCUGGUUUCCCAAGAGCCAGGGAGAGUCACAGGGCUUACUCAUGCCUGGAGUGGUGGACUCAUGCUCUAAACCAGUCUUCAUCAUGGACAUUUGGAGCCCUGUGCUGCUAUUGAUAAGGUGGUGUAGAAUCAUCCUACCUUCCCAUGAAGCCUCUGGAAAGGUGUCACACAGAGGAAAGAAGCUGCAUGCUGGAAACUGGAGUUUCAGCUCCCUGACUUGCUGUGUGAUUUUUGUACACUUUCUUUCUCUUCUCUGGAACUUUGUCUGUUUAUCUGUAAAAUUAGAGGAUUAAAAGAGAUGGCAAAAUCUUUUCACUUUUCUGUGGCAAUUCUGAAUGGUUGGAUGUGGAUCUCUGGAACUUUGUAUUGAAAAAGAUUUCAAUGGUGUGGGGAAGUCAGUUCACAGAGUCUCAAGAGAGCCAACUGAUCACGUCACUUACCAACUCUGCAUUUGGCGAUCCCACAUUGGUAGCUUGAUGCCAGCCAUGAUGGGAAAAUUUACAGCAUGCGUAUCUGCCAGCUAUGAACCAGAGCUCACCUCAGCCUCACCAAAAGUGGGCUGUUAAACAGUAUUCAUUGUACCACUCAUUUCGAAGCCCCAUGGGAAAAAGAACAAUUAUUUUCUGUAAUACUUGCCAGAGCCCCAGGAAGAGGAUAUAGAGCAAUGAGUGAUGAAUGUAUAUUUACCAUCUCUGGUUGGUUGAUUUCUGUCAUGUUCCCUUCACUGAUAACCUUUUCUGCAUUUUUUAGAAGAAAAAGUGCUUUGUCAGGGAAAGGGUUGCUAGCAUAGGCUCCCACUCUGAAUAAAAGACAUUCUGAAGUCCAGUUUAUCAACUGCUGACCGUAUUCUCUUGUCUCUGUUUAUUUUAUUUUAUUUUUUGAGUCAGAGUCUUGCUCUGUCACCAGGUGCCAGGCUGGAGUGUAGUGGAGCAAUCGUGGCUCACUGCAACCUCUGCCUCUCGGGUUCAAGCAAUUCUCCUGUCAUAGCCUCCCGAGUAGCUGGGACUACAGAUGCGUACCAUCAUGCCCAGCUAAUUUUGGUAUUUUUUUUAAGUAGAGAUG
ensembl:lncRNA